AACGGUCUAUACCUGCGGUACCUGCGGAGGGAUCAUUAUAGAGUGGUAAACCCCCCGUAAAAGGGGGGGACCUCCUGUCCUUUGUAGGCUCUUUUUUAAAAGGGCUUUUUUUAAUUUUCUGCUUCGGUGGGGUUAUCCCACCGGAACAACCUCAAAACUCUUAUCAAAAAAUCGUUCUGUCUGAGAACCUUUUAUAAUAAAAAAAAACUUUCAACAAUGGAUCUCUAGAUCGGAAGAGCA
rnacentral:misc_RNA from 1 species